rnacentral:SRP_RNA from 15 species
UUCUCGUCGUGGAGAUAGCGGUGCCCUGUGACCCCUCGCUCCCCACUCUCGUCGUCGAAUGCCCUUUGGAGGAGUAGCUUUUCGGGUUUG